CGGGAGCGGACAACGGAGACCAGACCUACUGCAGCCACGCGGGCGAGCGGCUGUGUGGAUGUCGGCGAAGCCGCGGGCGAGAUCACCUCUUAGGCAGAGCAGUGGGCGCAGAUGCCAUGGCGGGAAGCAGGCCUUUCUGAAUUCUUAGCAGCGAUCUCCAGGGGCACUCUAACCUUGCAAGAAAGAGGCUGCCAGUCUUGCAUCAGAUGCAGAAACCAGGGCGCAGAGUAGGAGCUAGAGCAUCUUGGAUGGAGAAACCUCGGCAAAGACAAAGGCCCAUUGUCCCCCUUCCCCGGCCUUCUGCCAGCUCCCUCCCCAGUCACCAGAGGAGGCCAGCCCUGCCCACCCCACAGCCCCCAGAGGCUGCCAGGCGCCAAUAUGGGGUAACUCAGCGCCCCCUCCCUUGCCAUUGGUUGACGAUGCCUGGAAUCCCACCAUCAGAGCUUUGUUAAGGUUGCUGUGGGAUGGGUGGCAGGGAGGCAGCAAAAGACAAGAAGGUGGUGGGGACCUCUGGCUUGUGGAUUUCAUAAUCAGACCUUUAUGGUGGGCUUGGGUAGGAGAUCAGGCAAUACUAAAUAAUAAUAAAAACAAAUUUCACACUUGC
rnacentral:lncRNA from 10 species